UACAGAGGGGGCAAGCGUUGUUCGGAAUUACUGGGCGUAAAGGGCGCGUAGGCGGCCUGCUAAGUCGAACGUGAAAUCCCUGGGCUCAACCCAGGAACUGCGUCCGAUACUGGUUGGCUUGAAUCCGGGAGAGGGAUGUGGAAUUCCAGGUGUAGCGGUGAAAUGCGUAGAUAUCGGGAGGAACACCGGUGGCGAAGGCGACAUCCUGGACCGGUAUUGACGCUGAGGCGCGAAAGCCAGGGGAGCAAAC
rnacentral:rRNA from 1 species